rnacentral:rRNA from 1 species
UACGUAGGGCGCAAGCGUUGUCCGGAAUUAUUGGGCGUAAAGAGCUCGUAGGUGGCUUGUCGCGUCUGCCGUGAAAGCCCAUGGCUUAACUAUGGGUCUGCGGUGGAUACGGGCAGGCUAGAGGCUGGUAGGGGCAAGCGGAAUUCCUGGUGUAGCGGUGAAAUGCGCAGAUAUCAGGAGGAACACCGGUGGCGAAGGCGGGUCUCUGGGCCGAUACUGACGCUGAGGAGCGAAAGCGUGGGGAGCGAACAGG